GUAGUAGCUAGCGGUAUACUCUAAUUAAUCUGCUAGAAUUGAAUGGCAGAGUAAGAUUUGUGUAGCUGACCCCAAUUAGUUGGGAUAAGGCUUAGAUGAUGAUAUAUUACAACGUUCUAUUAUUAUUAUUAUUUUUCUAUGGAAUUUCUGUUAUUGAAAUGAAAAAUGCUUACAGUUUCUUUGAUUUUAUUAGAAUUUCUAUCCAUGUUUUGUGUUGCUUGAGUCAAGCCGAUGUUCAACUCGAUCAAUUUAUAUCCAUAUAUCGAUUUAUAUCAAGUUGAACAUCGACUUCCAGUUUUUUUUUUUUUUAAAGAAUUUAUAUCCAUGUUUUCUGUUCAGUAAUCUGCGAGCUGAUAGCUGUGUUGACUAUGGAACAGUCGGCAAGUGUAAAGUUCUGUGUAACGAGGACACUUAUUCUUCCCUAUGUCGUGUCUGAUACCAGUGGUGCAUGGACACUAGUUUCAGGGUACAUGUUGACUCAGCUAUUAGGAAAAGAAUAUUUCAAUUAUUUAUUAUAUGGGCUGUUUGUUUUGUGGACUGCAAAAUUUUUGUUUGAUAUGAAUUGCAAGUGGGCUGUGCCACCUGUGUGGGGUUCAUAAUGUGUAGCAUUUGAACUUUGGGUGUCUUCAAUCUGCCAUGGGUAAUUUGUAAUAUUUUCUAGACAUUUUAAAUGUAAGCCUGUUUUCAUGGAGAUGAAGGAUGAUAAGAUAGAAAGUAUUUCAUGGUCAGGUGUAUACAAAUGUUUUAUUAGGGUGUGUUUGGUAGUUUGGCAUUUGGUGUAUUUGAAGGGAUUUCAGUUUGAAGGUGCAUUUGGCAGUUGGAAUUUGGUGUAUGUGGAUUUUCAUCUAAUCUAAACCCCCAUUUUGGAGGAUUUUUGAAAAUGCAGUCUUGAGGUGAGUCUCUUUUUGCAAUGUGCUCUGUUCCAAUCCUGGACUGCCAUUGCCUUCUGCAACUCCUUUCUGCAAGUGUCAAAUGUGUUAUUGAGCAGCAUUAGCAUUAGCCUAAUGAUGGCAUUAGCAUUAGUGUGGCUUUCUAUUUAUGUGGUGGAACUGAUUAUGCCAAAAGCUUGGUGGGUGUGCAUGUGUUGAUCUCCUAUUUUACCUGUGUGAAUUUUAGGUGCAUUCCUUUUGUAAUUAAUCUCAUGUUGCUGUGAAUGCAGAUGGGGAUUCCGAUUCAAACUUCAUCAAAAUCAAGCCCAUGGAGAAAGAAGCCAUAUCACUGCCUUAGGGUAUGGCCACAAAGCAGGGCUGAACUCAUGGGACCCACUUCCUAUGAUCUGUACUAAUGCUCUGGGCUAGCCCAGUUAUUUGUUGGUUUUUAACUGAAGAAGCAUGAAUAUAUAUAUAUAUAUAUAUAUAUAUAUAUAAUAUAAAGCAAUUUGUAGAUUGUGAAAUAAUAUCCUAAAACCAACAAUAUUUUCAAUUUGUGGGAGGUUAGAGUAAACUAGGAAGGAUUAGUUUUUAACCCAACAUGAGUGUGCAUGUGUUGUAACUGACUGCCGUUGUUUGGGUAUAGACUGAUUUUGAUUGCAAUAAUUAAGUUGCAACAUGAUAUUUUAGCUAGCACACUUCAUUUCAGAUUUACCAAAUAAUGUUUGCACCUUUUUCAUCAAUUUACCAAAUAACAAUUAGUGCAACCACUUCAUGUCUGCAUGUGUCUCAUUUUACAUUUGGCUGAGUUAGAAGAUUGACAAAUUAGAGAUUAUUAUUUUGUUUAUUUAUUUGCUGUUUCAUUUUGUAUUUCUUGACUAAGUCACCUCUAAUAUGUAUGAACAAUUCCUACAGGGUGUUGAAAGUGCCACUUUAUUUUUAUUUUUUAUGAAAAUAUAUUAUCUCAAAUACACAAAUUUGUCCUUUUAAAAAAAGUCGAAAUUGGGAAUCUGUGUGAAAUUGGGUUGGCGCAUUAGGGGGCCAGCUUCUAAUUGAAUUCCCAUGAUCUGCCUUCAAUUCAACAAAGGGGUAGGUUUGAUGCAUUCAGAUUCUAAUUUUCAAACAUCGUGUAUUGAUUUUUUUUA